UGGGGAAUAUUGCACAAUGGGCGCAAGCCUGAUGCAGCCAUGCCGCGUGUGUGAAGAAGGCCUUCGGGUUGUAAAGCACUUUCAGCGGGGAGGAAGGCGAUAAGGUUAAUAACCUUGUCGAUUGACGUUACCCGCAGAAGAAGCACCGGCUAACUCCGUGCCAGCAGCCGCGGUAAUACGGAGGGUGCAAGCGUUAAUCGGAAUUACUGGGCGUAAAGCGCACGCAGGCGGUCUGUCAAGUCGGAUGUGAAAUCCCCGGGCUCAACCUGGGAACUGCAUUCGAAACUGGCAGGCUAGAGUAUUGUAGAGGGGGGUAGAAUACCAGGUGUAGCGGUGAAAUGCGUAGAGAUCUGGAGGAAUACCGGUGGCGAAGGCGGCCCCCUGGACAAAGACUGACGCUCAGGUGCGAAAGCGUGGGGAGCAAACAGG
rnacentral:rRNA from 1 species